UAGAAAAUGAAAUUGCUAAUUGUUUCGAUAAUAAUUAGUACGGGGAUUAGUAUAAUAGGUGUUCCUUCUGGUAAAAUGUCUCAUAAGGCGACUGUA